UCCCUGAAGGUCCAGUGGUUAGGACUCUGCACUUCACUGCAGGGGGCUCAGGUUCAAUACCUGGUAGGAGAA
rnacentral:tRNA from 1 species